rnacentral:piRNA from 1 species
UGCCUCCUUGACUCGUGCUGCUU